UUUUAGUACAAACAGGGUUUCACCAUGUUGGCCAGGCUGGUCUCGAGCUCCUGGCCUCAAGUGAUCCACCCACCUUGGCCUCCCAAAGUGCUAUGAGUCUUUUUCCUUUGCCAAUUUCAAUAUGUAUCCUUCCACUGUAAUAUACUAUACAACCAUGAGUAUAACCUUUUUUUUUUUUUUUUGAGUUCUAGGAGUCUUUCUAGGAAAUCAUCAAACCUGAGUGUGGUCUUGGAGACCCUAACACAGGUGUUUCCUGCCCUCAAACAUCAGACUCCAUGUUCUUUGG
rnacentral:lncRNA from 1 species